rnacentral:tRNA from 1 species
CGGGGUGUAGCUCAGCCUGGUAGAGUGCUUCGUUCGGGACGAAGAAGUCGUAGGUUCAAAUCCUGUCACCCCGACCA